rnacentral:sRNA from 1 species
GAGGAAACAGAGCAGUCCAAGCUUCCUCAGUACCUGGAACGAUUUAAGAGAAUAGAAACCUGUGCCUGCAUUAAGUUCUCAGCCCUCAUUCCUCUACAAAUGUAUUUUUAUGAAAAUUUUUAAAAGG